rnacentral:rRNA from 1 species
CACGUAGGGCGCGAGCGUUGUCCGGAAUUAUUGGGCGUAAAGAGCUCGUAGGCGGCCUGUUGCGUCCGCUGUGAAAGCCCGGGGCUUAACCCCGGGUCUGCAGUGGAUACGGGCAGGCUAGAGGUAGGUAGGGGAGAAUGGAAUUCCCGGUGUAGCGGUGAAAUGCGCAGAUAUCAGGAGGAACACCGGUGGCGAAGGCGGGUCUCUGGGCCGUUACUGAUGCUGAGGAGCGAAAGCGUGGGGAGCGAACAGG